CAUUACUGAGUUACUAAAACUCCAACCCUAUGUGAACCUUACCUCUGUUUCCUCGGCCAACUGCAAAGGCUUGCCCACGGGGUUUACCCUGCUGGGAAAAGGGCCCGACGACGCUUUCCAACCCUUCGGGGAAGGUUAGCUGAGGGUGCCGCUAAGGCCGGCCGCAGCGCCGUUAAACUGUUCCAAAAUACUUUAUCCAACUCUACCCUAUAGAACUAAUCGUUCGAAUCUCUUAUCUCGAGGCUUUUCUUUUUGCCUUGAGGCUGAGGCUUUUCCUUGCCUUGCCUUUCUUCCAGUUCAAAUGUGUUUCCCGGUUGGAAUUAUCUCUCGAAGUUUACGAUGUUACGACCUUAUGAAAUGCCUUCGCGUGAAAUGUUACCCUGUACUACUUUUCGCUCGAAUGUGUUUCCCGGUUGGAAUUUUCGCUCGAAUAUAAUUCUUUCUCUGUACUAAUACUGUUUUUGUUUCUGUUCGAAAGCCUUUCCCGGUUGGAAUUUUUCGCUCGAGGUUCUAUUUUUUCAGAGUCUGAAUUGCAUCAAAACAAAUUUUUGUUAAAAACAACUUAUAUCAAAACUUUCAACAACGGAUCUCUUGGUUCUGGCAUCGAUGAAGAACGCAGCGAAAUGCGAUAAGUAAUGUGAAUUGCAGAAUUCAGUGAAUCAUCGAAUCUUUGAACGCACAUUGCGCCCAUUAGUAUUCUAGUGGGCAUGCCUAUUCGAGCGUCAUUACAACCCUUAAGCCCUGUUGCUUAGCGUUGGGAAUCUACGGCUUAGGCGUAGUUCCUCAAAAUUAGUGGCGGAGUUAUAGCACUCUCAGCGUAGUAAUUUGCCUCGCUUCUGAGCUGCUGUAGCUGCCUGCCGUAAAACCCCUAUACUUCUAGUGGUUGACCUCGGAUUAGGUAGGAAUACCCGCUGAACUUAAGCAUAUCAAUAAGCGGAGGAAAAGAAACCAACAGGGAUUGCCCUAGUAACGGCGAGUGAAGCGGCAACAGCUCAAAUUUGAAAUCUGGCCCUAGCGGUCCGAGUUGUAAUUUGCAGAGGAUGCUUUUGGUGCGGUGCCUUCCGAGUUCCCUGGAACGGGACGCCAGAGAGGGUGAGAGCCCCGUACGGUUGGACACCUACCCUAUAUAUAGCUCCUUCGACGAGUCGAGUAGUUUGGGAAUGCUGCUCUAAAUGGGAGGUAAAUUUCUUCUAAAGCUAAAUACCGGCCAGAGACCGAUAGCGCACAAGUAGAGUGAUCGAAAGAUGAAAAGCACUUUGAAAAGAGGGUUAAAUAGCACGUGAAAUUGUUGAAAGGGAAGCGUUUGCGACCAGACCUUUUCCAGGCGGAUCAUCCGGUGUUCUCACCGGUGCACUUCGCCUGGUUUAGGCCAGCAUCGGUUUUCUUAGGGGGAUAAAGGCCUGGGGAACGUAGCUCUCUAGGGAGUGUUAUAGCCCCUCGCGUAAUACCCCUCGGGGGACCGAGGACCGCGCUCUGC
rnacentral:rRNA from 1 species